GACAUAGGUCGCAAACGUUAUCCGGAAUUAUUGGGCGUAAAGGGUGCGUAGAUGGUGUAGUAAGUUAUUAGCGGGAAAUCGAGGCUCAACCUCGUGGAAGCUGGUAAUACUUCUAUGCUUGAGUGCAGGAGAGGUUAGUGGAACUCUAUGUGGAGCGGUAAAAUGUGUAGAUAUAUAGAAGAACAUCAAUAAGGCGAAGGCAACUAACUAUUCUGCUACUGACAUUGAGGCACGAAAGCGUGGGGAGCAAAACGG
rnacentral:rRNA from 1 species